rnacentral:sRNA from 1 species
GAGGCGCGGGCGGCGGCGACCGCGGCGCCAGUGAGGGGGCCCUGGGGCCCGGGCGGCUCCGGGCCGGGGCCCCGCCGCGGGACGGACCAUGCUACGCUCCACUGGCUUCUUCCGGGCCAUUGACUGCCCCUAUUGGUCUGGGGCGCCCGGGGGGCCCUGCCGGCGGCCCUACUGCCACUUCCGGCACCGCGGGGCCCGGGGCCCCGGCGCGCCCGGUGACGGCGGAGAGGCGCCCCCCGCAGCAGUGAAGGCUGCACCAGACGCAUCUGUACCUGCCCUGUGCGGUCUGUCUGUGGCACGGGUUCUGAGGAUUCUGAGUCUGAAGGUGGUGGUGUUGAAGCUGCAUGGGAUGGUUGCGAAACUGCUCUGCAAGAUCUCGGCCUGUCCAUGGCCCCCUCAGUGACGGGGCUGGGUUAUGACCCCUACAACCCUGAGCUGCCCAAGCCCCCCGCGCAGAGGGAGAAUGGCACCCUGGGCCUGGGGGAGGAGCCGCGCCCGGAUGUGCUGGAGUUGGAGCUGGUCAACCAGGCCAUCGAGGCCGUGCGCAGUGAGGUGGAGCUGGAGCAGCGGCGCUACCGGGAGCUGCUGGAGACGGCCCGUGAGCACCGCUCCGCCGAGGCCCCCGCCCUGGCGCCCCGCGGCCCCAACGCCAGCCCCACUGUGGGCCUGGACGAGGAUGCCUUCCCGCUGGCCUUCGACUACAGCCCCGGCAGCCACGGCCUGUCAAGCCCUGAUGCCGGCUACCAGCCCACCCCACUGGCCGCCCCUGCCGAGCCGGGCAGCAAGUACUCGCUGGCGUCCCUGGACAGGGGUCAGGGCAGAGGUGGAGGGGGUGGCGGUGCCCUGGAAUACGUCCCCAAGGCUGUGAGCCAGCCCCGGCGGCACAGCCGCCCGGUUCCCAGUGGCAAGUACGUGGUGGACAACUCCAGGCCACCCACAGACCUGGAGUAUGACCCUCUCUCCAACUACUCGGCCCGGCACCUCAGCAGGGCCAGCUCCCGGGAUGAGCGGGCCGCCAAGCGGCCCCGGGGCUCCCGCGGCAGUGAGCCCUACACACCUGCUCCCAAGAAGCCCUGUGACCCCUUUGGCAGUUGCGAUGCAAGGUUCUCAGACUCAGAAGAUGAGGCCGCCACGGUCCCAGGUAACGAGCCCACCGCGGCCAGCACCCCCAAAGCCAGGGCCGACCCUGAGAUGAAGGCCACCGGGCAGCCACCCUCCAAAGAGGGCCUGGAGGCCGAGGGGGGCGGCCUGCGGGAGACCAAGGAGACGGCCGUGCAGUGCGACGUGGGGGACCUCCAGCCGCCCCCAGCCAAGCCCGCCUCCCCAGCCCAGGUCCAGUCCUCACAGGAUGGGGGUUGCCCCAAGGAGGGAAAACCCAAGAAGAAAAAAA